CGGGAGCAAUCCUGGUGGCGAGUGGCGAACGGGUGAGUAAUGUAUCGGAACGUGCCCAGUAGUGGGGGAUAGCCCGGCGAAAGCCGGAUUAAUACCGCAUACGACCUAUGGGUGAAAGCGGGGGAUCGCAAGACCUCGCGCUAUUGGAGCGGCCGAUAUCAGAUUAGCUUGUUGGUGGGGUAGAAGCCUACCAAGGCAACGAUCUGUAGCUGGUCUGAGAGGACGACCAGCCACACUGGGACUGAGACACGGCCCAGACUCCUACGGGAGGCAGCAGUGGGGAAUUUUGGACAAUGGGCGUAAGCCUGAUCCAGCCAUGCCGCGUGCGGGAAGAAGGCCUUCGGGUUGUAAACCGCUUUUGUCAGGGACGAAACGCUUCGGGCCAAUACCUCGGAGUAAUGACGGUACCUGAAGAAUAAGCACCGGCUAACUACGUGCCAGCAGCCGCGGUAAUACGUAGGGUGCAAGCGUUAAUCGGAAUUACUGGGCGUAAAGCGUGCGCAGGCGGUCAUGCAAGACAGAUGUGAAAUCCCCGGGCUUAACCUGGGAACUGCAUUUGUGACUGUAUGGCUAGAGUACGGUAGAGGGGGAUGGAAUUCCGCGUGUAGCAGUGAAAUGCGUAGAUAUGCGGAGGAACACCGAUGGCGAAGGCAGUCCCCUGGACCUGUACUGACGCUCAUGUACGAAAGCGUGGAGAGCAAACAGGAUUAGAUACCCUGGUAGUCCACGCCCUAAACGAUGUCAACUGGUUGUUGGACGGCUUGCUGUUCAGUAACGAAGCUAACGCGUGAAGUUGACCGCCUGGGGAGUACGGCCGCAAGGUU
rnacentral:rRNA from 1 species